rnacentral:snRNA from 1 species
GCUUGCUUUGGCAGUGCAUAUACUAAAAUUAGAACGAUACAGAGAGUAUUAGCAUGGCCCCUGUGCAAGGAUGACACACAAAUUCAUAAAGUGUUCCUUAUUUUU